rnacentral:rRNA from 1 species
GGUUUCUUGAAAAACAUAAGAAAUCUGACCUGCCCAAUGAUUUUAUUUUAAUGGCCGCGGUAUUAUGACCGUGCGAAGGUAGCAUAAUCAUUAGUCUUUUAAUUGUGGACUGGAAUGAAUGGUUUGACGAAACAAUAGCUUUUUUAAUUUUAAAUAUUAAAUUUUACUUUUUAGUGAAGAGGCUAAAAUAAAGUCAAAAGACAAGAAGACCCUAUCAAGUUUAAUUGAAUAUUAGUAUUUAUUAGAGGUGAUAAUGUAAUUAUAAAUCAAUUUUGCUGGGGCGGUAAAUUAAAACUAAUUAUGAUCCAAAAUUUUUGAUUAUUUGUUUAAAUUACUGUAGGGAUAACAGCGUAAUCUUACUUGAGAGUUCAUAUCGACAGUAAGGGUUGCGACCUCGAUGUUGGAUUAGAAUACCUUUUUGGAGCAGAAUUUAAAUAAGGUGGUCUGUUCGACCAUAAAAUUUCUACA